AGUGAACGCUGGCGGUAGGCCUAACACAUGCAAGUCGAACGGCAGCACAGUAAGAGCUUGCUCUUACGGGUGGCGAGUGGCGGACGGGUGAGGAAUACAUCGGAAUCUACUUUUUCGUGGGGGAUAACGUAGGGAAACUUACGCUAAUACCGCAUACGACCUACGGGUGAAAGCAGGGGAUCUUCGGACCUUGCGCGAUUGAAUGAGCCGAUGUCGGAUUAGCUAGUUGGCGGGGUAAAGGCCCACCAAGGCGACGAUCCGUAGCUGGUCUGAGAGGAUGAUCAGCCACACUGGAACUGAGACACGGUCCAGACUCCUACUGGAGGCAGCAGUGGGGAAUAUUGGACAAUGGGCGCAAGCCUGAUCCAGCCAUACCGCGUGGGUGAAGAGGGCCUUCGGGUUGUAAAGCCCUUUUGUUGGGAAAGAAAAGCAGCAGGUUAAUACCCCGCUGUUCUGACGGUACCCAAAGAAUAAGCACCGGCUAACUUCGUG
rnacentral:rRNA from 1 species